rnacentral:snoRNA from 1 species
GGCAAAGUGAAGAGGCCUUGUAAUCUGUAGCUAUGUGAUGUUGUUACAUACAUUCAUGGUCUUCAGAAUUCUCUUAGGACUCAUUUGUU